AUGGAUGUUUUCCGACUGGAGUCUCGUGUUGCAGCUGUCGUGGACUAUCUCGCAAGGCUGAAGGCCGCCACAUCUCGCAUCGACUCGACGCUCUGGCCUGAGGAGACACUUCAGAAUGACCUUGAGUCGCUGAUGGCCCGCUUGAACACGAUCCCUGGUCGAGUGCAGGAGUGGAAGAAGUCCUCGGCUCGGUGUGGUGCAGAUGUCGCUCUGUGUCUGGCCCGAGUCCACUGCAAAGAUGCGCGAGAAGAGAAGCUGGCGGCCCUUCGGGUGGCCAAUACCAAGAAGCACGACUUCAGAUCCUUUAUGGAAACUUUCCUUGCAGCUGCCACUUGGAUCGCCGACGGGAUUGACCUUGAUGAAUUUGUUGCACCUUCCAGCCCUCCACAGGAGGGGUAA
rnacentral:rRNA from 1 species